rnacentral:tRNA from 1 species
GCGGUAGUAGUAUAGUGGUUAGUAUGCGGCGUUGCCAACGCUGUGACCCGAGAAUCCUUUUGGAUCGGGAAUUCAAAUCUCGGCUACCGCA